GACGAACGCUGGCGGCGUGCCUAAUACAUGCAAGUAGAACGCUGAAGCGAGGAGCUUGCUCUUCUUGGAUGAGUUGCGAACGGGUGAGUAACGCGUAGGUAACCUGCCUGGUAGCGGGGGAUAACUAUUGGAAACGAUAGCUAAUACCGCAUAAAAUGGAUUAUCGCAUGAUAAUCCAUUGAAAGGUGCAAAUGCAUCACUACCAGAUGGACCUGCUUUGUAUUAGCUAGUUGGUGGGGUAACGGCUCACCAAGGCGACGAUACAUAGCCGACCUGAGAGGGUGAUCGGCCACACUGGGACUGAGACACGGCCCAGACUCCUACGGGAGGCAGCAGUAGGGAAUCUUCGGCAAUGGACGGAAGUCUGACCGAGCAACGCCGCGUGAGUGAAGAAGGUUGUCGGAUCGUAAAGCUCUGUUGUAAGAGAAGAACGAGUGUGAGAGUGGAAAGUUCACACUGUGACGGUAUCUUACCAGAAAGGGACGGCUAACUACGUG
rnacentral:rRNA from 1 species